rnacentral:lncRNA from 1 species
AAGCUUGGAUAUUAAGAUUCGAUUGGUCUUAAGUUGAGUUUCGAGUUCGAGUAUUUUGAAUCGAGUCAAACUCGAGUGUUUAGUUAUUUGACUCUGCUUUGCUUGAUUACACCCCUAGGCCUCGAUGAAAAUUAAGUGGUAGCUAGGUUGUAGUAGAAUAUUUGUCCAUUAAGUCUUAAGUUAGGUAAUCAACUGAAAUUCAUUCUAAGGAGGAAUUUUUGAAAUCAAAUACCAGAUAUUCUUUGGAUUUAAGUUUGGUUUCAGAUGGUUGCUCUGUUUCCAGUCUUGUAUUUGUUGUGCAGGGUUUUCUAUUUUUUUCUUGAUCAUCAGACGACCCUCCACAUUUCUUUCUUCUCCCUCUUGCUAGUUUGCUUUUCUAAGCAAACCUUCAUUUAAUUGAUAAACGAGUGAACGCACAAAUUAAAAUGGGAGUUGCAGGUGCUGAUGCAUCUGUGGCUUGGAGGUAAUAAGGUUACAAAAAGAUGGGAAGAUGAAGAAGGUUGGAGAUGAGAACAUGGUGGCGCCAAUGCGGUCAGAUUUUUUUGCAUGAUGAAUAUGCUGGAAGGUAAUGAAGGUUGGUAAGCUAAUUUGCAUUGUGAUACAUGAAAGAGGCUUUGCAAAUAUAAUUAUCAUCUAGGCGAACUACAGUUGCAUGUAGAAGUGGGAGUGAAAACGGGAGCAGCUUCAAGUGUGUGGAAGGGAAUGGUGAACCAAAAUAAUUAUAAGGGAGUGAGGGUGCGAUCAAAAGUGGUUUUUUGUGCAUAAGAUUUCCUGAUGUAUUUUACUA